CUGACCUUCAGGUUCAUCAAAUGACAAUGUUGGCUGACCUUCAGGUUUGUCAUAUGACAAUGUUGGCUGACCUUCAGGUUUGUCAAAUGACAAUAUCAGCUGACCUUCAGGUUUAUCAAAUGACAAUGUUGGCUGACCUUCAGGUUCAUCAAAUGACAAUAUCAGCUGACCUUCAGGUUUAUCAAAUGACAAUGUUGGCUGACCUUCAGGUUUAUCAAAUGACAAUGUUGGCUGACCUUCAGGUUCAUCAAAUGACAAUGUUGGCUGACCUUCAGGUUCAUCAAAUGACAAUGUUGGCUGACCUUCAGGUUU